rnacentral:rRNA from 1 species
CAGGACGAACGCUGGCGGCACGCCUAACACAUGCAAGUCGAACGGAGUUAGCAAGAAGUUUACUUGAGCUAACUUAGUGGCGGACGGGUGAGUAACACGUGAGUAACCUGCCUUUCAGUGGGGAAUAACGGCUGGAAGCGGUCGCUAAUACCGCAUAAUGUCUUGGAGUCGCAUGACCCUGAGACCAAAGAUUUAUCGCUGAAAGAUGGACUCGCGCCCGAUUAGCUAGUUGGUGAGGUAAUGGCUCACCAAGGCGACGAUCGGUAGCCGGACUGAGAGGUUGAACGGCCACAUUGGGACUGAGACACGGCCCAGACUCCUACGGGAGGCAGCAGUGGGGGAUAUUGCACAAUGGGGGAAACCCUGAUGCAGCGAAUGCCGCGUGUAGGAAGACGGUCCUCUGGAUUGUAAACUACUGUCUUCAGGGACGAUAAUGACGGUACCUGAGGAGGAAGCUCCGGCUAACUACGUGCCAGCAGCUGC